rnacentral:misc_RNA from 1 species
GCUUUAAUCAGCAAAAUUAUCUGCCCCAGGAUCAGGUUAGGAUCGUUCACCAUACGGUGAUCGAAGUGCAGGCCUGCUGAGAGCAUUCCCGCCAGUUGCCGCGCUAACGACUCGCCGCCGAACCAAAUAAUACAAACGCCCACCAGCAAUAUCAGCAGUGAGGUCAGUUCUCUGGAACGGGGGAUCUGCCCUUCUUCCCGCGCUUUUUCAAGUCGGUGGGGUGUGGGGGCUUCUGUUUUGUCGUCGUCGCUCUCUUCUGCCACGCAGCAAACCCUGGAUAGAUUGAUAAGCGAGAAUGAUGCCAGAAC